UUGCAUGUGGAAAGAUCUGCCUCUCAUUCCUAUGGGGGUAGGAAUGUGUCCAUACCAUGCCACAUGAAAGAAGGCGUUCUUGGGGCCGCCAGCCUUACAGUAGAGGUUGAGUAGUAGUGUAUUUCUCUUACAUUA
rnacentral:snoRNA from 1 species